GAUGAACGCUAGCUACAGGCUUAACACAUGCAAGUCGAGGGGUAGCAGGGUAGCAAUACCGCUGACGACCGGCGCACGGGUGAGUAACACGUAUCCAACCUUCCCAUAACUCGGGGAUAGCCUUUAGAAAGAAAGAUUAAUACCCGAUAGUACUUAUAUAGGGCAUCCUACAUAAGUUAAGAUUUAUUGGUUAUGGAUGGGGAUGCGUUCCAUUAGAUAGUUGGUGAGGUAACGGCUCACCAAGUCGUCGAUGGAUAGGGGUUCUGAGAGGAAGGUCCCCCACAUUGGUACUGAGACACGGACCAAACUCCUACGGGAGGCAGCAGUGAGGAAUAUUGGUCAAUGGGCGAGAGCCUGAACCAGCCAAGUAGCGUGAAGGAUGAAGGUCCUAUGGAUUGUAAACUUCUUUUAUAGUAGAAUAAAGUGAUCCACGUGUGGAUUUUUGUAUGUAUACUAUGAAUAAGGAUCGGCUAACUCCGUGCCAGCAGCCGCCGUAA
rnacentral:rRNA from 1 species